GGACCUGCCUCAGAAGAUUGACGAAAACAUCGAGGAGUUCUGCAAGAAGCUGAUGGCCAAGGCUUCAUUGAAGGACUUCAAUGAGUUGUUCUGGGCUGUUCAUCCAGGAGGACCUGCCAUUCUUAACAAGCUAGAGAGCACCCUCAAGCUGGGCAGUGAUAAGCUAGAGUGCAGCAGGAGGGCUCUGAUGGACUAUGGAAAUGUUAGCAGCAACACGAUUUUCUAUGUCAUGGAGAAUAUGAGGGAGGAGUUGAAGAAUAAGAAGGAGGAGAGGGAAGAAUGGGGGCUUGCCUUAGCUUUUGGCCCUGGAAUUACAUUUGAAGGAAUCCUCAUGCGCAGCCUGUAGGAGGAUCAAUUGUUACCAUG
rnacentral:lncRNA from 1 species